rfam:Halobacteroides halobius DSM 5150, complete genome.
GAAAGCCGUGUACGGGAGAACCGUACGCACGGUUUGCAGAGGCGGAGUUUGGGAAUUUAAUAUAGAUAAAUGUUAAUCUAAAUUAAAGCACCAGCUUCGACCCUAC